GAGGCUAUAGCUUAAUUAAAGUGUCUGUUUUGCAUACAGAAGAUGUGAGUUAAUGUCUCGUUAGUCUUA
rnacentral:tRNA from 1 species